GUCACACUCAAAGAACACCCGUCUCGGUAGGCAUUGCAGGAGCGAACUCAGGGAAAAUGGGUAGGGAUAAAUCGUUCAAAUUCACUAUUUUGAAAAAAGAAAAUGGGGGGUCGAAUCACCUAUUAGUGUUUGGGGGGUUGUAAGGUUGCUAUUAAUGUAAAUAUCUCAAUAUUUGGAAUCGUCUUCUUAAUUCAACUUUAACAUUAACUUAUUGAUCUAUUUUUUAAUUGAAACGACGUUGACGAAGGCAAUUACGAUGAAUCCAUGAAUAAAACGCCCGAUGUCAACCCUAUUGAAACGCACUGGGGUGAUGAAACGAGGGCACAAUAGCGGGAAAUUUGAAAAGGCUGACGAGACAGGCGCGAGAUAGGAAUGUAAGCUAGCCUACACAAUGCUGAGAGAAGGAAUGACAUUUUAAACAGCGUAUAAAAUGUUCUCCUAUGACAAGACAUCCGAGAGACUUUCUUUUCCUGAUAUUUCUGCGGAUGUGAGGACAAUUUAAUAAUGGAAACUUCAGGAACUCAUUUGGAUGUGAUCUCAAACAUUUGUUAUUACCAGGUUGAUGUAAGAGUGCCAAAAGCUUGUCAUCGUGGUUUUGAGAUUACAUUACACACACACAGAGGGCCUUUUUGGAAGAUAUACCAUGAUUGUAAAACAACCCAUAUGAAUAUCACAGUAGUUGUCAAAGUGGGCGAACCGAUGACGUCACCUACUCACUGUUUCUUUUAGGCUUAUGUUCUCUGAUCUAUCUAUUUGAUGCAUGGGUUGACGUCUCCUUCCAACAAGAGCCCUAGAUGGCUUUUCUGCCGUGACAUCACUCUAUUUUCGAUGAGCUGAUAAACAGACUGCACAAGAAUGAACCUGACAUCGACCAAGACUUCUAUCCCUCUGAAUACGAUCAAUGUUAGCCUCAUGCAUGCUGAGCCACUAUUGGAAAUUGAAUAGGCCUAUGCUAGAGUAUACAUCACCAUCAGCGAGGAAUGGAGCAGGUUUUUAUCAGGAGGUGAUGGCGGGACAGGUGGAUAGAAUUCAGAAUGCUGCUUGGAAGGCAUCCUUAUGCGACUGUCUAAUACCGCGAGAUGAGGUGUGACGUCAUAGUUCACUGGCCAUUGCGAUGUCCUUCGCUAGAGGACCGAUAAUGUUACCAUAAGGAGAAGGAAUAUAGGGUGUGGACGAUGUAUUUCAGUCGACAAUGUAUUAAUACGAUUGUCAUGAUAAUUGGCCCAAGUUCACUCCAUACAGUCUCAUUAUGGUGAGGGGUGAACAAGGAUUCAGUUGGGCAACGGGAAUGUUCAAGAGGACGCUUAUACAGCAGGAUUCAAUGCAACAAAAAAGUCAACCACCCUUAUCUACUUUGCGCGCGGGGAAAAUAAAAUGCAUUUUAGACAUUACCUGUAUGUGGAUGCUCGAUUGAAUUCUGUUUUAGUAUAAAGCGUUCUAUGGGACAUUCCCGUGCUGUAAUGAUGUCUCUCAAAGUCCAAAAGAAGAGGUGGUAUUUAUUUUUUUCUCUUAUCAAACAUGCAUUAUAAAGUUUGUUUAAAAACCUUAUUUUGGACAUGAGACCUGAUUGGCGCCACUUUAAGAAUGUACAAAUAAAAAGGACAUCCAGCACCACCUCCCCGCCUCGGGGAAAAAUUGUUGGAAGGGCGCAAAAGUAAUGCUUGCCCCGGAUGGCAUGCAGGAAAAAUGCAACGUUUUACGCCACUUUGUAGGUCUACUGAUCUCCAUUAGGAUUUUGGAUCAAAUCAUCAUUGAAUAAUUACUUGUUGAUUUUACAGUUGUGCUAAAAAUUAGUGAACCCCACAACAAAACGCACCUUUUCAUGCUGAGUGUAGAAUGCAGACAACAGCACUGCAAUGUUCUGCGAGCCUACUUAGGCUAGAGAAACAAACUUUAUCUAAUGUAUUAUUUUAUCGCCUGACUUCACAAGACAGAACUUGAGCACUUAAAAUAUGUUCAUUAUCUGGUAGGAUUCACUAACUUGAGUACCACUGUAGUACUCCAAAGUUUUUAUGAAAAUAUAUAAUUAUCUUAUUUUGAAUGUAAACCUUAUAUUGCAUUGAGUAUUUGAAUAAUUAUAAAAACGAUCCACGUACAUGAUCUUGUGUGUAAUUAAUAAUUCUGCAAAACCACAAAGAAUCACCCCAAAAUGAACGAAAAAGAGGACUAAAAUAAAAACAGUUUCACAUUUCUUCAAUUUUCUUGAUUAACUUGAAAUGAACUAUCGUGGACUUUCGUGGUUAUUGUUAAAUUCAUAUACUCAAUUAGUGGUUUCCUUUUCGUUUUUUUUUUUAUUACUAUUGCGUGGUUCAUGAUUAUACUAUGUAAUUCAUUGAAAUUUGCAGAAUUAAAACAUUUGAAGGAAUAGAUAACUAAGCCCGAAUUCUGAAUAGAUUAGAUCGAUAGAUACAUAGAUAGAUAAGUAGAUAGAUAGGUAGAUAGAGAGAGGGGAGGAGAGAUAGGACUAUGCUAAACAUAGAAUGAUUGCUCUCAUCUGAUUUAUUUUAGAUCCACAGCAUUUUAUUUUAUCAAGCGAUUAUGCAUAGAAUAUGAAAAGUUAAAAUGUACAAUUUUCGGCUUUCAAUUGUUGAUACAGUGUAUCUCCCAAAUUCUUGGUAAAGAAUGAAAUAUGGUAGGCCUUUUUUUCUGAACUACCGUUUAUAGUAAUCAGAAAUGUAAGUUCCUCUGGAAUCGACAUUCGGGCUAAAUGCGAGAGUUUUGCCCUAGUGUCUGGAGUGGACAGUUGAUUAUUAAAUGGCAAUUUUGUUAUGGUCACCGCACACCUUAAGACUAGUCUACGCUCCGAUUUAGGGGAAAGCCAAAUGAAUAGUUCUUUUUACCUGAAGUUCCAAUUAACUGUAUGAAUACUAAUAUAAAAAUUGUGGAUAAAUGAAAAGUCUUCUUUUGGCGGAAAGGCUAAAUUGGUUACAAAUCGUAGCCGAUGUUAAGCUUGCUACGACGUCAUUACGAUUAGAUAUUAAAUUCGUUUUUAUUCUAAGGAUAAUAAUCAUAGUCACGGAUUUACGAUGAUUCACUACUUUGCACAGUAAGACGUGCCAAGUCUAGAAUAUUCGGAUCAAACGUAACAACGUUUUAUCGUAAAAUCGGGUCGCAGAUCAGUCGUAAGGUGUGCGGUUGCCUUAAUCUCCGUUUGGUUAUUUGUAUUCAUUCUCGUAUUGAUUUCGUGUAAAACCUGCCCCCCUCGCUACCUCCUCUGUCUCUUCUUGAAGUCUAUUUCAUCAUAAACCAUUCCCACUAUCUCUCAACUGUCAUCUCUUUGUUUUUAUAUUGACAAUUUGCAUUCAUUAUUUCAACCAUCAUUUCUUUGUAAAUCUUUCAAACUUUCUUUCUCAACCCAAUAAAACAAUCCUCUCCCCUUCUCUAUCUCUUCCAUGUAAAUAUGUACUUUCCUGUAACCCAUUCUUAAAUAUCAUUCGCUAUACUUCAAAUUUUGAAUUCAUACUUUAUUAUUCUAUCCCCCCCCCAAAAAAAAAAUGCAUUUCACUCCCUAUUCUCACUCAUGUUUUUUUUGCAUUCUUUGUUUAUUUCAAUUUUCAGUAAUCUCUUUCACGUCAGUACUAUUUUAUCAAUUAAUGUUGGUCUAUAUCUCUUGCUCCGUCACAUCAAACUUAAGCCAUGACUGUCAUUGGUUACUUUCUCUAUUAAAAACUUUUCAUUUCA